CAGCGUUUGACAUCCCGAUCGCGAUUUCCAGAGAUGGAUUUCUUCAGUUCGGCUGGAUCGGUGACAGGUGCUGCAUGGCUGUCGUCAGCUCGUGUCGUGAGAUGUUGGGUUAAGUCCCGCAACGAGCGCAACCCUCGUCCUUAGUUGCCAUCAUUUAGUUGGGCACUCUAAGGAAACCGCCGGUGAUAAGCCGGAGGAAGGUGGGGAUGACGUCAAGUCCUCAUGGCCCAUACACGCUGGGCUACACACGUGCUACAAUGGCGGUGACAGUGGGCAGCAAACUCGCGAGGGUGAGCUAAUCUCCAAAAGCCGUCUCAGUUCGGAUUGUUCUCUGCAACUCGAGAGCAUGAAGGCGGAAUCGCUAGUAAUCGCGGAUCAGCACGCCGCGGUGAAUACGUUCCCAGGC
rnacentral:rRNA from 1 species